UCGGAACCAGCCCGGACCUGAUUAUAGAAUUGGAUGCAAGCCUCCAUGGCUGGGGCGCACGUUGUGGCAACAUAUCCACCGGUGGCAGAUGGUCCAUGGAGGAAUCCACAAUGCACAUAAAUUGCCUGGAACUUCUGGCAGGAUCGUUCGCCAUCCGCAGUCUCUCCCCUACGGUAGGGAGAUGUUGUAUACUGCUCCGUAUGGACAACAUCUCG